rnacentral:rRNA from 1 species
GUAGGGAAUAUUGGGCAAUGGAUGCAAGUCUGACCCAGCCAUCCCGCGUGCCGGAAGAAGGCCCUCAGGGUUGUAAACGGCUCUUGACGGUGAAGAAUCGACAGGAUGCGUCCUGUUUUUACGGUAGCCGUUGAAUAAGCACCGGCUAACUCCGUGCCAGCAGCCGCGGUAAUACGGAGGGUGCGAGCGUUGUCCGUAUUUAUUGGGUUUAAAGGGUGCGUAGGCUGGAAGGGCAGGUAGCGGUGAAAAGCUGUCGCUUAACGAUAGUCUUGCCGCAGAUACUUCCCUUCUUGGAUGAGGCGGAGGCCACUGGAACGGAUGGUGUAGCUGUGAAAUGCAUAGAUAUCAUCAAGAACCCCGAUUGCGAAGGCAGGUGGCUGUACCCAAAUCGACGCUGAUGCACGAAAGCAUGGGGAGCAAACAGGAUUAGAAUCCCCUGUAGUCC